rnacentral:rRNA from 1 species
UACGUAGGGAGCAAGCGUUGUCCGGAAUCAUUGGGCGUAAAGCGCGCGUAGGUGGCCCCAUAAGUCCGCUGUGAAAGUCAAAGGCUCAACCUUUGAAAGCCGGUGGAUACUGUGGGACUAGAGUACGGAAGAGGCGAGUGGAAUUCCUGGUGUAGCGGUGGAAUGCGCAGAUAUCAGGAGGAACACCGGUGGCGAAGGCGGAUCUCUGGGCCUUGCCUGACGCUGAGGCGCGAAAGCUAGGGGAGCGAACAGG